rnacentral:tRNA from 1 species
GUGCCCGUAGCUCAGCUGGAUAGAGCUUUGGAUUGCGGAUCCAACGGUCGGAGGUUCAAAUCCUCUCGGGCACG